AAGCUCUUCCUGGUGACAAUGUUGGGUUCAAUGUUAAGAAUGUUGCUGUGAAGGAUAUCAAGCGUGGGUAUGUUGCCUCAAACUCCAAGGAUGAUCCUGCUAAGGGUGCUGCCAGUUUCACUUCCCAGGUUAUCAUCAUGAACCACCCUGGUCAGAUCGGAAAUGGUUAUGCUCCAGUGUUGGAUUGCCACACUUCUCACAUUGCUGUUAAGUUCCAAGAGCUGUUGACCAAGAUUGACAGACGAUCAGGAAAGGAGCUUGAGAAGGAGCCCAAGUUUUUGAAGAAUGGUGAUGCAGGUAUGGUUAAGAUGAUGCCGACCAAGCCUAUGGUGGUGGAGACUUUCGCAGAGUACCCACCUCUUGGAAGGUUUGCUGUGAGGGACAUGCGUCAGACUGUUGCUGUUGGUGUGAUCAAGAGUGUUGACAA
rnacentral:lncRNA from 1 species